AUUGUAGGAAAAGCACGUGGCAUAGAAGGUGAUAUGUGGCUAUCUUUGGAAGAGACAGUUGGGCACAUGUGGCUCCCUGGUGUCCCUGCCAUUGGGCAGCUCCUUGAAUGCUCCUAGUUCUUCCCUCCUCCUGGCUGUUGCCUCUCACCUCCUGCCUGCUUGGAGAAGAUGAAUCAGUUACCCUCAAAUCCUGCACACGGCGGAAAACAGACUCCAUUGAGAAGAGGUUUUGCUUUGAUGUGGAAGCAGUAGACAGGCCGGGGGUUAUCACCAUGCAAGCACUGUCGGAAGAGGACCGGAGGCUCUGGAUGGAAGCCAUGGAUGGCCGGGAACCUGUCUACAACUCGAACAAAGACAGCCAGAGUGAAGGGACUGCGCAGUUGGACAGCAUUGGCUUCAGCAUAAUCAGGAAAUGCAUCCAUGCUGUGGAAACCAGAGGGAUCAACGAGCAAGGGCUGUAUCGAAUUGUGGGGGUCAACUCCAGAGUGCAGAAGUUGCUGAGUGUCCUGAUGG
rnacentral:sRNA from 1 species